AAUAUUUUAAGCAUGAUUUUUUUUUUCCACACAGAGUCACAAGUAACAAGGACUUAGCAGGAAAGAAAAGAAAGGAAGUGCAGGUGGAUAAGAAGAAAAUUCCCAGGGUUUACRGCCACGUGGCUGUUACUGGGUGAGCACAGACAGACCACUGCAGACUAUCCAGAUGGGACAUGGGCAUAGGCCAGCAGCUCUCUGCCAAGACUUUACAAGAAAGACAGAAAGGGYUGGCAGAGCUUCGGAGCACGGCUACUCUCAGAAAUGACACGCCGUCAUGUCGAAAGCCCUGCAAGUGCUCUUUGCCUCAAGAGUGAGUAUAACCAUUCGUCA
rnacentral:lncRNA from 1 species